GACGAACGCUGGCGGCGUGCUUAACACAUGCAAGUCGAACGGAAAGGCCCUGCUUUUGUGGGGUGCUCGAGUGGCGAACGGGUGAGUAACACGUGAGUAACCUGCCCUUGACUUUGGGAUAACUUCAGGAAACUGGGGCUAAUACCGGAUAGGAGCUCCUGCUGCAUGGUGGGGGUUGGAAAGUUUCGGCGGUUGGGGAUGGACUCGCGGCUUAUCAGCUUGUUGGUGGGGUAGUGGCGUACCAAGGCUUUGACGGGUAGCCGGCCUGAGAGGGUGACCGGCCACAUUGGGACUGAGAUACGGACCAGACUCCUACGGGAGGCAGCAGUGGGGAAUAUUGCACAAUGGGCGGAAGCCUGAUGCAGCAACGCCGCGUGCGGGAUGACGGCCUUCGGGUUGUAAACCGCUUUCGCCUGUGACGAAGCGUGAGUGACGGUAAUGGGUAAAGAAGCACCGGCUAACUACGUG
rnacentral:rRNA from 1 species